UACGGAGGGGGCAAGCGUUGUUCGGAGUUACUGGGCGUAAAGCGCGCGUAGGUGGCUUGAUAAGCCGGUUGUGAAAGCCCCGGGCUCAACCUGGGAACGGCAUCCGGAACUGUCAAGCUAGAGUGCAGGAGAGGAAGGUAGAAUUCCCGGUGUAGCGGUGAAAUGCGUAGAGAUCGGGAGGAAUACCAGUGGCGAAGGCGGCCUUCUGGACUGUAACUGACACUGAGGCUCGAAAGCGUGGGUAGCAAACAGG
rnacentral:rRNA from 1 species